UACGAAGGGGGCUAGCGUUGCUCGGAAUCACUGGGCGUAAAGGGUGCGUAGGCGGGUCUUUAAGUCAGGGGUGAAAUCCUGGAGCUCAACUCCAGAACUGCCUUUGAUACUGAAGAUCUUGAGUUCGGGAGAGGUGAGUGGAACUGCGAGUGUAGAGGUGAAAUUCGUAGAUAUCAGGAGGAACACCAGUGGCGAAGGCGGCUUUCUGGACGGUGACUGACGCUGAGACGCGAAAGCGUGGGGAGCAAACAGG
rnacentral:rRNA from 1 species